rnacentral:rRNA from 1 species
AUACGGAGGGUGCAAGCGUUGUGCGGAAUCACUGGGCGUAAAGGGCGCGCAGGCGGUUUGAUUAGUCAGAUGUGAAAGCCCACGGCUUAACCGUGGAAGUGCAUUUGAAACUGUCAGACUUGAGUAUCAGAGGGGAAAGUGGAAUUCCCGGUGUAGAGGUGAAAUUCGUAGAUAUCGGGAGGAAUACCGGUGGCGAAGGCGACUUUCUGGCUGAAUACUGACGCUGAGGCGCGAAAGCGUGGGGAGCAAACAGGAUUAGAUACCCUGGUAGUCC